UUUAAUUUUCUCCUGUUAUUCUGUCUCAUGUGAAUUUAAUUCAUUCUCCGGCCAGAAGAACCCACAGCAGGUAGAGGAAAUGUCCUCCUCCCCUAACAGUUUGGCGACUUGGACGGGAUAAAAUUUCACUGGCUGGACACUGUGCAGUGCUGGACUGCUGCAGCCGAGAGAUCCCGGACCCCUGACGAGAGCCAGCAAGAGGUCCCAUCUCUCAGGGUCAAAGGUGAUCUUUCAUGCCUCCAGUUGGGGGUGAAACCUGGGAGCACUCAGACCAUCAGGUCAGAUCAAGACAGCUCUCCUGAUCCUGCCUGGCCCUGCCUCCCAGGAACCCAACACCCAGGGUGAGGGAUGUGUCUCUGGCAUCAACUGUCAACAGUUUGAUGGGUGCCUCUGAAAAAGCCUCGGUGGGACUCACUGUCCAGCGCAGGGACCACAUGCCAUUACCCAUGGGAAUAGAGCAGUGGAGGGAGCUGGGCUCCAGAGAGAAAUCAGGGCGGCAGUGGGAGAUUGACGUUAAAACAUGGCCUAAAGUUAUUUUGGGGACAAAGAAACUACUCUGUAUGAUACUAUAGUGAUGAAUACAUGUCAAUAUAUGUUUGUCUAAAUGUAUAGAUGUACAACACCAGGAGUGAACCCUAAUGGUCCCUUACAGGGUCACACCAGCUGCAGGGAAAUUCACCUGACAAGUGAGGUUGGUGCCACAGUCCUGGGGUCCAGGGAGGUGAGGAUAGCUGAUAUCCAAGAGAAGUUGGGGGGUGUGACCCAUUCACAGGUCCAGGGCACAGAGAACGUCAGGUUCCUGGUGCAUCCAGACUCCAGAGUCCCCAGGAUCAGGAUGUCUGGCAUGAUGGUCAAGGCUGGUGAGGAGACAGGAGACACAGGGAUCAGGAAGGAGGGUCUGAGGUGCGACCCUGAAGGAGGCCUCAGACUUUCGUCCAGCUUCUCUCUCUAAACUCCAACAUUCUGUACACUCGACCCAUCCAAAGAGGAAUGUCUCCUCCCAGUUGUGCCCUGGGGCCCUUACAUCCUCCCCCUGUGGUGUCUCUUGGAGCCUGCUCCUUUCCUACACACACACAAAGAGAUGGAUAAAUACAUACAUCAAUAUUGUACUUCCUCUCUCCACGUUAAAAAAGUGUUUUCCAUGAUCCAUCCUCCUGGCGUCUCUGAUGUCCAGGGAGCAAUCGUAGGUCCAGGGGUCCCCGAGGAGGUUGAAUAGGCCCUGGGUCUCCUCCUGCACUUUUUAAGCAGCAUCGUCUGUGGCCACUGGAGCAUCCUGGUCUGUUGGCCCCUUCCUGGAAUCAGUAGCUGAGAGCCAGGUGGGGUCAGUCCAGCCAUCCCUCGGGGAGAAGACAGUGCAGAGCAUCCACAGGCGCAAACCCUCUUUCACUGUCACCAACUCCUGAACUUGCAGCCUGUAAUUACUGUAAUAUUGCCGGAUCUUCCUCUGGCCCUCAGCCUCCUCCCUCCACCAGAGCAGGGCCAGCAGCAGGAGCAGCAGCAGAAACACGUGUGGGAUUGGCAGUGCCAGCAUCUGCCAGGGAAUGUUUGUUUCUCAGGGUUCUCUCUCAGGAACUGAAAGUUGCAAGACUUACAGGAGACUCCAAGAGGAAGAUGAGGGUAACACCAGAACAGUGACCCUCCUCAGAGAAGGAGCUCCAGAACCACACACGGUCAGGUGUAGGAAAGCCCAUGGAGUGAACCUCCCAUCCCCACAAGCCCACUCCUGGAGACCCUGGACCAGAGAUGGUGAGAGCUCACUCACAUGCACAUCGCAUGCAGAGCCUGAGCCCCAUCUCCUGCUUCCUUGUGGAUGCCCUUCUCCUUAGAGGGUCAUUUUCUGCAAAGUGAAAAUGAGUUCCUUCUAAUCAGACUUCCUGAGUCACGGGCUGUAGAUGUCUGUGGAGAUUGGUCCAGCCAGGGGAGGGACUCAGGGACACAGAAGAUGAGGGAGACUGACUGUCCUCCCUCCUUCAGCUUCCACAUCGUAGGGAACGGCUCUCUGCUCAUGAGGUCACACACUAGAUCUGGAUGCUGCUCCAAGAGUCACUGUCCAGUGGGGAAAGGAUACGUGUCCUAGCACCUGGAGCUCCCUGUGACCAGAAGACAUGGAGACACGUGCUGGAGACACAGAGUGAGGAAGGCCAGCCUGAGGGUCGUCCACACUCAGGGAUGGUGAGGAUUUUGUGAGAGAAGAGAUGUGCACCUGAAUUCACAGGAGGUUAUUUUAACUGUGUGGUGGGGGCUGGGAGGAAGUGGUGGGAAUCCUGGGAGGUGGUGCCUCCUCAGACCCAUGUUGAUGUUCUUUAAACAUUUCUUGGGGCAAACAUAGGACACAUAUAGAGAAGUGUCCCCAAAAGAACAGCUCGGUGAUUCAUCACAAAAUGAACACCCUCCAAGCAAUAGAAUGUUGGGAGCACCCAGGACUGCCCCUUUGUUCCCACUCCUUAUCCACACCCCGCUCUCUCCAAGAAGACCAGCCUCCCUAUAAUAACAAUUGAUUCUUGCUUUUCUCUGUAGUUUUGUCAUCCCAGCAUGUUGCCUUUAAUAAUAUGGCUUUGUAUAAGCUUUUCUUAAGACUUUGUAUACAAAGAAAAAAUUACUGCCUGUUUCCUUCUGUUGAACUUCAUGAUUCUGCCCAUCCCAUAUUAUCCUCUUCCCAGAACUAUCACCCAAAACCCAGAGUAGAGUCAGUGCUGUGACCAUGGAGAAGGAAAGUGCAGGUAUGAGCACGCGUAGACACUCCCACACCAUCACCAUUUCCUGCAUUUUAAGCUGGAAUCUCAUUCUGCAGCCCCAUCCUCCUCCAAGGACCCCUGUCCUGGCCACUCACUGUCUCCCAGCAGGGCAGCUGCAGCAUCUGUGGUCAGAAGGGCUGGGCUGGUACCAACCCUGGGAGUUCCUGGACUCUUAGGUAUCGUGUACUCAAUCCCACUCACUCCCUGACUGUGCUGGAGAUCCUCUCCUAGCUACCAAGUCCUGUCCGCUGUGACCAACCCCCCACCUCUGCCCCAGAAAGGAUCAGACUACCGCCUAUAGGGGGCGCUCCCUGCUUACCUGCUCCUGGGGAUCCCCGGAAAGGGCUAUGGUGCUGUCCGUGGUGCUGAUUCAGAGCUGAGCGCUGACUUUGGCAAUGUCUGCAGCUCUGUGGAGGGAUCUGACCUCAACAGCACGGGGACCUUAUCUCUGGAGUCAGCAGGGUCAAGAUGCCGGGUGUUCUGGGGAGGGCUCAGGUUUACCUGUAAAGAGGGACUUGGGGAAGGAAGAGAUCUAUGGUUCUCCUCCAUGUACUUCUGUCCACCCUCAGGAGUGUCCUGUGGAAAAUACCAGGCUAUUGUCACCAGUCCGAGGGCAAGGAAGGUGAAGGCACUGUGCUGCCCCUUUAUAUAUGUGUCCCCAUUUAAUUUUCCCUAGGUUCCUGACAGAGAGGAGUGAUCACUCUCAUCAAAUAGGGGAAGCAGAUGACACUCAGACAGGUGACUAGGUGUAGGAACUAGUCUUCAAAGACGACCCCAAGCAAUCUACCACUCCUUUAUACAAAGAUGGGCUCCUCGCCUUACAAGAUAGAGUGUGUUAUAUUCUCCUCUUGAAGCUGGAUUGAGUCCAUGACUGCUUUGACCCAUAGAACGUGGAGGACAAGAUGUUCUGAGCUUCAUACAGCUCAGACAUUAAGAUGCCCUGGCAGUUUCCACUCCUGCCUCGUGCAUUUUUGGGCAUCUGUGUAAGCAAUCCAGGGCAGCCUUAUGGAGAGAGAUGCUACAUAGAGGAACCCUGAGGGGUCAGAUGUCUACCCCAGUCACUGCCAGCAUUCCACCACAUCUGCCUGAAAGAUCCUAAAGCAAAACUAGGAGUGAAACUGCCCAACUUUCACCCUUAUAUUCCUGCUUCCAGAGAAGAAGUAACUUUUCAAUCAGGAAAUUUUCGUUGCCACACUACAAACUUCUGAUUCUUUCCACUUGAGCCCAUGUAGAAGUGUAUGGCAUGAUGUUUUCUUCAUCCCCUCGUUUGGAUUUUGCUGGUGAAAUUUUAAUUCCUUUAUUUGAAAUGUCCUGUUUUCAUUGAAUACAUGAUGGGACUUGGCACUCCUCGCAUCAGGCUAAGUUGCCAGCAGGAACUUGCAUUUUCAAGGGAUGAGGAGCCAGCACACAAUGAACACAUACCUCAUACCAGGACCUGUACACAGUGCUUUACAUGUGUCACAAGACACUUGUGAGAUGGGGCUUCUUGUUUACCCACUUUAAAGAGCAGGAACAUAAGGCACAGAGAGGUAGAAUGACAAGGUUUCCUAUUGUCACUCUCUUAGUAAAUGGAGAAGCCAGGAUUGAGUUCAAGUUUCUCUUAUUUUAAAGCCGUAUAUUUUCUCCAUGGCAAAGAAUUCCCAUUAAGUCAUUUCUAAUCCAUUGAAUAGAGAGAAAUUUACUCCAUGAGAAUCAGUGCUUGGAGUCUCUCCUUCCCAGAGAAGCUCUGGGUUCCCGGACCUAUGUGUCCUCUGUCUUUUCAAUACUUUGUGCUGAAUCUCCCAUCCCUUGGCCCCCAAGCCUUCAUCUUCUCAUAUCUGAGGUAAUUUCAGUGGAACUCUUGGGUUGACUAUGGUUUGAUCUGGACAGUUUGUGGGCAGAAAUCUGACUGUGGGGGAAUGAAGACGUCCCAUGUAUGACCUCAUCAUUCCCAUCAUGUGAGCUUGGGAAUGCAGCUCUGCUAAGGAGUGGCAAAGACACCACUACAAACUAGUCAGAGAAAAAAGAUCCUUUCUUACCUGUACCAUGUUCUUGAAAGGCCAUGAUGUCCACAGGAAUGGAAUGUCUGGACUGAAACAUAGUAGGUCCCUCCUUUGUGGUGAAGGGUGGAAUGAGUGUUGGUCCUCCUCAUUUCUAGAGCCACAAAAACAGCAAGGAAGCUGAGUUCUGGGAUUUCUCUUGUCCUUCUCCUCAUUCUGGUCCCCAGGAACCGGGCACUGAGUAUCCCAAGCCCUGAACUCUCCUUGGACUCCCUCCUGCACUCAGGGUGCUGGGAGUCCUGGCCCCACACUCAUAGGAGACAUUGACUUCAUUGUUCUCUAUGACCGCACAAGCUCCAGGAACCUCAUGCAUCAGGGUAGUUGAUACAAUUCCUAGGAUUGUGAGGUGGUGACCUAAAAAUGAGGUGUUUGUCCAGAUCCUUUAUUUAUUGUGAUAUAGUGAACAAAUCCCUCGACUGAGCCUUAUGUGGAACUAAUUUGCUUGUGAUCCAACGAAGGUGGCUCAGCACACAACGACAUGUCUGUCUUCCCAAGGCAGAUUGUAGACCUGAUGAGCUCCAGGCAAACAGGUGAUGCUCUCCAAGGUGCUGAACUAUGGCCAGAUUCUGAGCUCCAAAGUCACCCAGUCCGAAAGGAAUCAGACCCCUUAAGCUUGGGAUCUAAGACUUGGGCCCUGAAGACAGCCAUAUAACCUGGGGUGUUGAGAAGUUAUGGCCUGCCUACAAGAAAAGGAUUUGGGGAUAAGAAGACCCUCUUAUCUGUGGGCUGGGGUUCUCUUAUACUUCUCUUUGGUUCCGAGUUCACCAUUAGGGACUCUUCUGCAUGUCUGGAUGACCCUAGUUGCCUAAGGGAACUAAGGAUACUGAGAUUAUAAGAAAGACUUUUAGACCUAAUAUUGAAGAAACCAAUAGAGACCUGAAGAGAGAAAGAUUCCAGGGAGGGGCCUUUUGUAUAGAAUUUGAGAAAGGCAGUGAAAGGAACUCAGGGGAGGGGCCAUCAGUUUCAAAAAUUAAUUAUUAUAGCAGUGAGAAGUAUUCAUAAUUCUUAUGUACUGAAUGCCAGUCCGGGGGCUUAGUGGUUAAGAUUCUUUGCUCUCACUGCCACACUGCAGGUUUUGUUCUUGGUCAGGGAAAUACGCCACCCAUCUGUUGGUUGUUAUAUUGUGGCAGCUGCAAGUUGCUGGGAUGCUGAAAGCUAUGCCACUGGUAUUUCAAAUACCAGGAGGGUCAUACACAGUGGACAGUUUUCGAUGGAACUUCCACACUAACACUUAAGAACGAAUUGGCCAUUGAUUUAGGAAAAAAUUGGCCGUGAAAACCCUAGGAAAAGCAGCAAAGCAUUGUCUGAUACAGUGGCAGAGAAUAAGAGGAUGAUGCAAAAGCGACUGGGCUGCAUUCUGCUCUGCUGUACACUGGGUCCCUGGAAGUCACAAGCAAGUUGAUGGCACUGAAAACAAAUGUACUAUUAUGUUUCAGGAAAACUUUAAAAACAUGCUUUCUCAGAAGACCUUGAUAGGUAUAAUUUAUACCUACUAAAUAGAAUAUUUUGAUGUAGAACUUAGAGAAACCAGCUGACUUUUCACUCAUUCUUGAAUGGUGAUUGAUCAUCUUCUCUGUGUCCAGCACCAUCCCACACAUGAGGUUACAUGGUGCCCACAGUACAAUCUAUAACAUCAUCAACACCAGGUCCCACUCCCCAGAGCUGACAAAAUUCGAUUACCAUCUUGGCAUGCUGCCUUCUUUUUUUCAGGACAUUUUUUUUUUCUCAUCUUGAUCCUAUAGGAGGUAUGAUUUUAUGUCAUUCUAUUUUAUUUAUAUUUCUGGGUAACUUCCAGCCUCCUAAAUUACAUUCUCAUUGUUUUUUUAAGAGGAGAUGUGCUAUAUUUAAUUAAUCUCUCAAAUGAGGUUGGGCAUUUAUUUUGUUUCCACACUAUUUUGAGUGAAUGUACUAUAAUGUCACUGCCCUUGGAGAUUAUCAGUUUUUCCAGUUCUUUCUCACUUGGUAACUGGAGCAAAUUUCCAGAGCAAAGAUCAGUAGAGAUCACACUCCUGAUUAGAACUUUCAGUGGACCAUAAACUCAUUUUCUCUACAACAGCAUUGCUCAGCCAAUUUCCAUCCUGAAUGUCCUAAACUGAUGAAGCUCACACAAGAAUCCCACACUCUGGAGUCCAGGUCCUUAGAGGCACAUGGAGGAGUUGAGGGAGGUAACCAAAAUCUGACUGUUGUUAGAAGGAAGAAAGGCCAAUGGAUUUAUGGAAAAAAAAAAAAAAAAGCUGUAUUUUCCCACAGUAUCAUUUCCUUCCAGUCAUCUCUUUUUCAACUUCCUCAAACAAAGCAUGCAGUGAGAAAAUGGAGUUGUGGAAUGAUCAGUUUUGGGGUUUCUCUCUUCGCUAAAUCUUCCUGGUUUUCUGAUGAGGAAUUAGUCGAAUGCUCCAGGUUUAUACAGUAAUAUGUCGAUCACAAGUGACAGGAUACUUGUCUAUCCAAGCAAAGGACAAUUUAAUGAGAAGACUCCAAGGACUUCAACAUCAUUAAAUAAGAACAAAACCACCUGUUGGGAAAGACAGUCUCCUGAGUCCCUCCCACUCCUACAGGUCUUGCUGGGUCUGUCCAUAACAUGAUGCUGCAAAUGCUCCUUACGUGGCCAAGUUCUCAGGGCUGUGACUGGAGGGAGAAACCUUGAGAGACGAGGUCAUUUCUCCCUCCAGGACAAGAGCAGGCUCACUUGCUGCUGGCUAUGAAAGUGGUAGAUUCUGAAUUUGCUCAUCUUUGCCUCCUGGGGACCGAUUGGCCUGACUCAGAGCUUUCUCUGGGACGUAACAUAAUCUUCUGCACUGCUCUGUGAGCCAAAACAGACCCAAUACUUGUCCCCACGGGCUCACUGUCUAGCAGGAUGGGGAACAUUGAAGAUGCCAUUAUAGAAGACAUCAGGACAGUUAGGAAAGUGCUGGGGUCAGAAAAAAGACCUGGGCUGGAGACAGAGAGUUUUCAAGCAACUGCAUGAUUUUUUUUUAAGUUUCUAAAAUAUUUCUUGGGUGCUUAUUAUGUAUGUAUUGUCAUUGGUGAGGAAAAUACACAAAAAUACCUUCACCCAGUAUCACAGGUCAGGAAUAGACUUGCCCUUGGGAGUGGAUA